UGGACUUCUAUCAGACUUACAGGUGUUUGUACUUGGACUCGUCUCAGACUUACAGGUGUUUGUUCUUGGACUUCUAUCAGACUUACAGGUGUUUGUACUUGGACUUCUAUCAGACUUACAGGUGUUUGUACUUGGACUUCUAUCAGACUUACAGGUGUUUGUACUUGGACUUCUAUCAGACUUACAGGUGUUUGUACUUGGACUUCUAUCAGACUUACAGGUGUUUGUACUUGGACUCGUCUCAGACUUACAGGUGUUUGUACUUGGACUUUUAUCAGACUUACAGGUGUUUGUACUUGGACUCGUCUCAGACUUACAGGUGUUUGUACUUGGACUUGUAUCAGUAUUGGACACUGGUCACACUAUCUAUGAACUAUGUCUCGACUGAGAGUUUGAAAAAUAAUGACCAUUUUGUCUUGAACAAGUGACAAGAAGUAGC
ensembl:lncRNA